UCGAUUUCGUCGGGAUCUACCUCCUCCCAGAGACUGACGGAUACGGUCGACUUUCACCUCCUCCCGAUCGUCGACCAUCUAUAUGACGCCCGCCGCACCUCCUCCCGCGGCGGGCGUUGUGC
rnacentral:sRNA from 2 species